rnacentral:rRNA from 1 species
GACGAACGCUGGCGGCGUGCUUAACACAUGCAAGUCGAACGGUAAGGCUCCAGCUUGCUGGGGUACACGAGUGGCGAACGGGUGAGUAACACGUGGGUUACCUGCCCUGCACUUCGGGAUAAGCCUGGGAAACUGGGUCUAAUACCGGAUAGGACCAUGGUGUGGAUACUGUGGUGGAAAGUUUUUUCGGUUUGGGAUGGGCCCGCGGCCUAUCAGCUUGUUUGUGGAGUAAUGGCCUACCAAGGCGGCGACGGGUAGCCGGCCUGAGAGGGUGGACGGCGAAAUUGGGACUGAGAGACGGCCCAGACUCCUACGGGAGGCAGCAGUGGGGAAUAUUGCACAAUGGGCGGAAGCCUGAUGCAGCGACGCCGCGUGGGGGAUGACGGCCUUCGGGUUGUAAACACCUUUCACCAUAGACGAAGGGUUUCUGACGGUAGAUGGAGAAGAAGCACCGGCUAACUACGUG